UAUACAAGUCUUUGACUAUAUAAGUAUGGAGUGCCAGUGCCCCACUUUUCCCAUUCACUUCUGUACUGGGCAGCAAUCAUGUAACUUUUUCCUUAAGGUGGAAAUGGGUGGAAACGUGAAAAGUGAAAAGUUUCAUGGGAAAAAUUACAUGAUCGAUACCCUGAAAUCCGUAGCCAACAUUUCCAAGAUUUAGGCUCCGCCCCAUCGACCAAAGAGCGUUGUUCGUUGAAUGUGAGACAAGGAUAGAAUGAUACCCAAGAACACUCGGGUGACGCCUCUGAACGCAGCCCUAAUGUUAUUUUAUAGCGUUUUCGAUUGGGAAAAAGUUAGUGCGCACCAGUGCGCACUAACACUGGACAAGUUCCAUGGGCUGCACUGAAUAGUGCAAGUACAAAAGAACAUGCCGAAAUUUUCAAUGCCAAUUAUAUUUUAAAUAAAGUAUAGGUUAUAUACUUAUAUAAAAAGAUGUAACAUUUACAGUGUCAUUAUCCAUUUGUUUCACACAUGCCACAUAAUUUGUGGUUUUUGGAAUUAUUUUUCUAAUUCUGAGAGUUGUAAUUAUUUCUUCUUCCUAGAGAGAGAGAGAGA